GUCUGUGGCUAUGCCACCAUGAACACACCCAAUCUGGUCUGAUCUUGGAAGUUAAGCAGGUCCUGGUUAGUACUUGGAUGGAAGAGAGAAAGAGAGAGAAUGGGCAUGCCAGGGCCUGUUGACA
rnacentral:rRNA from 1 species